rnacentral:rRNA from 1 species
AGGGUUUGAUCAUGGCUCAGGAUGAACGCUGGCGGCGUGCCUAACACAUGCAAGUUGAGCGAUUUACUUCGGUAAAGAGCGGCGGACGGGUGAGUAACGCGUGGGUAACCUACCCUGUACACACGGAUAACAUACCGAAAGGUAUGCUAAUACGGGAUAAUAUAUUUGAGAGGCAUCUCUUAAAUAUCAAAGGUGAGCUAGUACAGGAUGGACCCGCGUCUGAUUAGCUAGUUGGUAAGGUAACGGCUUACCAAGGCGACGAUCAGUAGCCGACCUGAGAGGGUGAUCGGCCACAUUGGAACUGAGACACGGUCCAA